rnacentral:rRNA from 1 species
CCUACGGGUGGCUGCAGUGGGGAAUAUUGGACAAUGGGGGGAACCCUGAUCCAGCCAUGCCGCGUGUGUGAAGAAGGCCCUCGGGUUGUAAAGCACUUUCAGUGAGGAAGAACGCCUGGUGGUUAAUACCCAUCAGGAAAGACAUCACUCACAGAAGAAGCACCGGCUAACUCCGUGCCAGCAGCCGCGGUAAUACGGAGGGUGCGAGCGUUAAUCGGAAUUACUGGGCGUAAAGCGCGCGUAGGUGGCUUGAUAAGCCGGUUGUGAAAGCCCCGGGCUCAACCUGGGAACGGCAUCCGGAACUGUCAAGCUAGAGUGAAGGAGAGGAAGGUAGAAUUCCCGGUGUAGCGGUGAAAUGCGUAGAGAUCGGGAGGAAUACCAGUGGCGAAGGCGGCCUUCUGGACUGACACUGACACUGAGGUGCGAAAGCGUGGGUAGCAAACAGGAUUAGAUACCCCUGUAGUC